rnacentral:rRNA from 1 species
UACGUAGGGUGCAAGCGUUGUCCGGAAUUAUUGGGCGUAAAGAGCUCGUAGGCGGUUUGUCGCGUCUGCUGUGAAAACCUGGGGCUUAACCCUGGGCCUGCAGUGGGUACGGGCAGACUAGAGUGCGGUAGGGGAGACUGGAAUUCCUGGUGUAGCGGUGAAAUGCGUAGAGAUCGGGAAGAAUACCCGUGGCGAAGGCGGCCGACUGGGCCGGAUCCGACGCUGAUGCGCGAAAGCGUGGGGAGCGAACAGG